AUUCACUGUCUGAGUGUGACACUAUGCAUUCACUGCCUGAAAUGUAUAGUGUCACACUCAUUCAGUGAAUGCAUAGUGUCACACUCAGGCAGUGA
rnacentral:pre_miRNA from 1 species